GAAUAUUUGCUCUUUUAGUAUUUGCCCAGUAGGUUUCCUCAAGGAGAAAGACCACA
ensembl:snRNA U7 U7 small nuclear RNA